rnacentral:lncRNA from 1 species
UUUUCUCAUUACCUUGCUAGAAUCCCUUACAUCACAUACUUAUAGUGUUUACUCUAAAUACAAACGUUAAGGAUAAGAUUCACAGCUGUAAAGAUGUUUCAACCAGCUGGUAGAGUCACCAACGGAUCAAAUCUGUUUUGGAGCUGCAUUGUCUUCUUCUCCGUACUCCUCUUUUGUCUCUCUGCUUUCUGAAGACCAGACGACAGUUGGCUGACUUGUUCAGAGGCCUCACCUUCUGUUUUGUUAUCAGCUUGGGCCUCUGAGUAUGUUGGGCUUACAUUCCCCCUCAAACUUGCGGUGGGGACUUCACCAACGCCAAGUUUGCUGCGAAGCUCACUGUAUUGACGUCGAGGAAGAGACUUUGUGAAGAUGUCUGCCAAUUGUUGCUCUGCUGGAAUAUGAUGUGUCUCAAUAAGGCCCAAAGCCACCUGCUCCCGAAUGUAGUGAUAGUCUGUAUCGAAAUGUUUCGAUCGUGAGUGCAGAGCUGGGUUGGCGCUCAAGUAUACCGCAGAUAGGUUGUCGCAGAACAGCAUUGUCGUCUGAGUCUGAGGUAGCUGGAAGUCUCUGAGUAAGGAAGAGAGCCACGUUAUCUCUUGAGCAGUCGAACAGAGUGCCCUGUAUUCAGCCUCCGUCGAAGACCGGGACACUGUUGGCUGUCUUUUCGCCGACCAGGAUAUGACGUUAGGUCCAAGUAAGGUACAUGAACCUGUGGUGGAUCUUCUCGUCUCCUUGCAACCCGCCCAAUCACUAUCACAAUACCCUGACAAGACCAGACCUUCAUUCUUCUUGAUAUGAAGACCAAGCUCCAGCGUUCCUUUAAUAUAUCGAAGAAUUCUUUUGAGUAAACUGAAGUCCGAUGCUGUUGGGGCGUGCAUCCUCUGACAGACCAAAUUUACCGCAAACUGAAUAUCUGGUCGCGUUAUUGUAAGAUACUGCAGUUUGCCUGCAAGACUUCUAUAGUACGUAGGCUCUGGAAACAAUGUCGAGUCAGUAUCUUCUAUUCUUACUGGCAAGGGUGUAGGCAUUGGGUUGCAGUCUGACAUCAUCGCUUGAUGAAGGAUGUCUUGCGCAUACUCCUUUUGAUGUAAGAAGAUUCCCUCAGUAUACGCCACCACUUGGAUACCAAGGAAGUGUCUUGGUUCGCCCAAAUCCUUCAUAGCAAACCUCCUGUUCAAGGCUUGUAGUAAGCUAUCUAAUAGCCUAUCAUCACUGCCAGACAGUAGAAUAUCAUCUACAUACAGAAGCAGCACUAAACUCUUGCCUUCCUUGUGAUACGUGAACAAAGAUGGGUCAGACCUGCUGCAGGAGAAUCCAAACUCUAUGAGGAAGCCACUGAAUGUGUCAAACCAGGCCCGUGGCGCCUGCUUUAGACCAUACAGCGCUUUAGUUAAGCGGCACACAUGAUUCGGUCUUGCUUCAUCGACAGAACACAAGAGAGGUUUUUCUCUGAAUACUCUUUUUCUCAUUACCUUGCUAGAAUCCCUUACAUCACAUACUUAUAGUGUUUACUCUAAAUACAAACGUUAAGGAUAAGAUUCACAGCUGUAAAGAUGUUUCAACCAGCUGGUAGAGUCACCAACGGAUCAAAUCUGUUUUGGAGCUGCAUUGUCUUCUUCUCCGUACUCCUCUUUUGUCUCUCUGCUUUCUGAAGACCAGACGACCGUUGGCUGACUUGUUCAGAGGCCUCACCUUCUGUUUUGUUAUCAGCUUGGGCCUCUGAGUAUGUUGGGCUUACAUUGUAUAAAUGAACGGAGGGAGUAGUACUGACUAGUUCGCGAUUCCACGUUAGCCCAAAUCAACAAAUCUGGACUCAUUUGGUGCCCACUGCAUUACUUUACAAUGAUGACUCUUUGGACGGUACAUGUGUAGUACAGCCACUGUAAGUACGUUAUGUACCUUACACCACGUGGAUGAAAUCCAUUGUCGGUGUUAAAAGACAAUAGGCCAUUGGAC